AAGAACAAAUAUGAUAUUAGUAUGGACUAAAAUGAAUUUAAGUGAUUUAUAGCUUUUAUAUUGUAUAGUUGGCAUAGCCAGAAUAGAAAGAACCUUUUUCCCCGAGCGUCGGAUUAUGGAAUAUUUUACAUGUUUAUGAUUCUCAUACAGAAAUGUGUGUUUUGACAGUUUUAUUAAAACUUAAUAUUAGAAAUGAUAACACCACUAAUAAGUACGUGUACCAAGAGGCAAGCUAUGAACUAUGGAAGAAUGCAUAUACCGAUAAUAAAGUAGCUUCGGUUAACUUCUGCUAUGAUGGUUGAUGUUUGCAUUGAGGUCAUAGGGGAACAUUACAGAACAGGAAGAGCAGAUAUACCUUUGAUGAACUAAACGAUGCGUUAAAAGUGGGCAGUAAAUGGAAAUGUGGAGGAAGACAGUCGAUUAAAAUAUUGUUGUCCAAACCCAAAGCGGACAACUAAUGUACAUGAAUACAACAUGGCGGACAAAGAGACCAGCAUGCAGCAUCUGCAUCUUAAACUCGACCGACUGAACGAGGAAGGGAUACCAAUUAAAGAAACGCAUAUAGAAAACUUUUAAUAUACCUAUUGAUUGCUUAAUGUGUACACUUGUCAAGACCAUUUUUAAUAUCAUAUGUCAUUUGUGAAUGAGACCGUUUAUAUAAAACUGGCAGUAUUUUACAUUAAUCUGCUAAUUCAUGAUGAACUGGGAAAUAAUGAGGCUUUUAUUGUCUUUAAAUCUAAGAAAGACAACAUAGUUGGAUCAAGAAUGUUGCAAAUAUUUGCUAUCUCUAUUUGAAACUUCUUAUAGUUUGUCACAUUGCAUGCGUGUAUAAGCUAUCAUUCAAUAUAUGGCUGUUUGUUACCUAACAAGCUGUCACCUAGAAGUCUGGCAAGAAAGUUUGUAACUCUAGGGAAUGCUGUAUACUCUACACUUGCAAGAUUUGAUUUAGAGGUAAUCAAACAGAAUACCGCUAUGGCAUGACCAUGAUAGGCAAUUAAUAACAUGGCCAAUAGAAAAACGUUGGAUCCUUGAUAUAUUAUUGGAAUGCGUUUUUGUCUUUGGCCUUGCAAAACCUUUGUAGACAGUAAAACAAAAACAGAUACUUGACAAUACAA